rnacentral:rRNA from 1 species
GCAAUUGGAGCGGCCGAUAUCAGAUUAGGUAGUUGGUGGGGUAAAGGCCUACCAAGCCUACGAUCUGUAGCUGGUCUGAGAGGACGACCAGCCACACUGGGACUGAGACACGGCCCAGACUCCUACGGGAGGCAGCAGUGGGGAAUUUUGGACAAUGGGGGCAACCCUGAUCCAGCCAUGCCGCGUGCGGGAAGAAGGCCUUCGGGUUGUAAACCGCUUUUGUCAGGGAAGAAAAGACUCAAAUGACGGUACCUGAAGAAUAAGCACCGGCUAACUACGUGCCAGCAGCCGCGGUAAUACGUAGGGUGCAAGCGUUAAUCGGAAUUACUGGGCGUAAAGCGUGCGCAGGCGGUUAUGCAAGACAGAUGUGAAAUCCCCGGGCUCAACCUGGGAACUGCAUUUGUGACUGCAUGGCUAGAGUACGGUAGAGGGGGAUGGAAUUCGUGUAGCAGUGAAAUGCGUAGAUAU